ACGGGUGAGUAACGCGUGGGAAUCUACCCAACUCUACGGAAUAACUCAGGGAAACUUGUGCUAAUACCGUAUACGCCCUUCGGGGGAAAGAUUUAUCGGAGUUGGAUGAGCCCGCGUUGGAUUAGCUAGUUGGUGGGGUAAAGGCCUACCAAGGCGACGAUCCAUAGCUGGUCUGAGAGGAUGAUCAGCCACAUUGGGACUGAGACACGGCCCAAACUCCUACGGGAGGCAGCAGUGGGGAAUAUUGGACAAUGGGCGCAAGCCUGAUCCAGCCAUGCCGCGUGUGUGAUGAAGGCCUUAGGGUUGCAAAGCACUUUCACCGGAGAAGAUAAUGACGGUAUCCGGAGAAGAAGCCCCGGCUAACUUCGUGCCAGCAGCCGCGGUAAUACGAAGGGGGCUAGCGUUGUUCGGAAUUACUGGGCGUAAAGCGCACGUAGGCGGAUCGAUCAGUCAGGGGUGAAAUCCCAGAGCUCAACUCUGGAACUGCCUUUGAUACUGUCGGUCUAGAGUAUGGAAGAGGUGAGUGGAAUUCCGAGUGUAGAGGUGAAAUUCGUAGA
rnacentral:rRNA from 1 species